rnacentral:lncRNA from 1 species
AUAAUGGCUGGCUCUCAGUGUUUAUUUUGCUGAUAUAUUUUUUCUCUUUCUGGUACCAGGGAUGGAACUCAGGACCUUGUGCUUGCUAGGCACGCAUGGCACCACUGAGCUAAAUCCCCAGCCCUAUUUUUUUUUGAGGUUUUUAAUCCAUUUUGCUGCUACUUAAACAGAAUCCUUUCUACCUCAUUAUUUUUCUUAUACACAAGAUGACUAAUAAUUUUUGCACAAAAGUUAUGUACCAGGAGUUCACAGCUAAGAGUUUGCCUUGAGCCUCAGAAGAGACUUUGGACUUGGAGUAUUCAGCACUGCUAAAACUGUUAAAAUUUUAACAAUUCUUAGAGGGAUGGACUAAAUGUAUUUUGCAUAAUGAGAUAUGAUUGUGCAGCCCUUAUAUGAAGACCUAGACCGAAAGAAAUCAGAAUGUGAGGCCUGAGAAGACUUUCCCAAGGUUGGCUAUAUGAGGGGUGGGCGCUGCCUGUCUCAGGAGACGUCCUUGGUACCAGCAUCUUUUUCUUCAGACCUGCCAUCUGUUCCAGUGAAUAAUUCUACCAACCACGUUUUCCAUGAUUUGCCUCAUUAUGUCUCCACGUCCUUUACACACAUAGAACAUGAUGUCUGGCACACUGAAUAAGCUGUGUUGUAUCAGGGAGACUAUGGUAAUGACUAGGUCCAUUUUGAGGGUGAGUAUUCUUUUCAAGGGCCCAUCAAGCAAAGGAAUAGCUAUGAAUUGAUAUAUUCAUUUCUUCAGGAAAGGGAGUACUAUCAAAAGGAGACAAAUUCACACUCAUUACUUUUGUGUUUAUUCUGUUACUUCAGCUUUUGAAUUUGUCCUCAAAAGCAUAAGAAAGG